GACAGAUCAAAACUGACACACUCAAAUAGGGAAAUGAGGAUUUUAAUUAUUCUUAUGUUCUUUCUAUACUUUUAAAAUAUCUAAACUUUAAAUAAUUUAUAAAACUAAGAACAACUUCCAAAGGACAGAAGCAAGAAUCCUGACAGAAGAUGGAUUGAUAAAAAUGAGCAUGCGUGCCAAAGAAGACUGAUAAUUGAACAUCGGAUUUCUGAAAAUCUGUAAGAAACAGGGUGUUAUGGAUGUACUGUCUCUUUCGUGGAAGUCUUCUACUGGGAGACUGGUAAUCCUUCACUUAUUCAUAAUCCUCUCCCACUGUCAGGCGCCUCCCUCAGCAUCUCUUCCAGUGCGGAUUACAGUUCCCUCACCAUGGCAGUCUGUCCCGCUCUCUCAGGGUGAUCUGGGCCUUCUCUUCACCAACUCCAGCCCCUUCACCUCUACACAGUCUCUGCUGGUCUUUCCUCCCUCGGGAACCACCUCCAAACCUCUGCUCCGUGCUACGUUUGGUUCCUACACAGUCACACAGGUGUUGUGAAAGAGAUGGAGGCUGACAGAGGAGAGCGGUUCAGAGUUCGAGUGCUGUUUCACAUGAGAGGUGAUGUUAACAGAGGAACCUGCGUUACUCUGCAUGCUUUCAAACAGACAGAGGAGCAGAAAGCUUCCUGCAUCACUCAGCCACCGUUUGGGUUGUGUGUGGUUACUCUAACAUU
ensembl:processed_transcript